rnacentral:rRNA from 1 species
GACGAACGCUGGCGGCGUGCCUAAUACAUGCAAGUCGAACGCAGUGGGGACGGGUGAGUAAAACGUGGUUAACCUCCCAACAAAGUGGAAAACACUUGGUAACAGGUGCUAAACCUAUACUGAUGGAUGGACCAGCGGUGCAUUAGCUAGUUGGUGAGGUAACGGCUCACCAAGGCCACGAUGCAUAGCCGACCUGAGAGGGUGAUCGGCCACACUGGGACUGAGAAACGGCCCAGACUCCUACGGGAGGCAGCAGUAGGGAAUCUUCGGCAAUGGACGAAAGUCUGACCGAGCAACGCCGCGUGAGUGAAGAAGGUUUUCGGAUCGUAAAACUCUGUUAUUAGGGAAGCGGUACCUAAUCAGAAAGCCACGGCUAACUACGUGCCAGCAGCCGCGGUAAUAC